AGUGAACGCUGGCGGUAGGCCUAACACAUGCAAGUCGAACGGCAGCACAGUAAGAGCUUGCUCUUACGGGUGGCGAGUGGCGGACGGGUGAGGAAUACAUCGGAAUCUACUUUUUCGUGGGGGAUAACGUAGGGGAACUUACGCUAAUACCGCAUACGACCUACGGGUGGAAGCAGGGGAUCUUCGGACCUUGCGCGAUUGAAUGAGCCGAUGUCGGAUUAGCUAGUUGGCGGGGUAAAGGCCCACCAAGGCGACGAUCCGUAGCUGGUCUGAGAGGAUGAUCAGCCACACUGGAACUGAGACACGGUCCAGACUCCUACGGGAGGCAGCAGUGGGGAAUAUUGGACAAUGGGCGCAAGCCUGAUCCAGCCAUACCGCGUGGGUGAAGAAGGCCUUCGGGUUGUAAAGCCCUUUUGUUGGGAAAGAAAAGCAGCAGGUUAAUACCCCGCUGUUCUGACGGUACCCAAAGAAUAAGCACCGGCUAACUUCGUG
rnacentral:rRNA from 1 species